AUCCUGCUUUUGUGUAAGAAAGGGAACACAGCCAACGCGGCGAUGAAUAUGUCAUAUUUUCCAACAUAACAUUUCUGUCUUGUACUAAAUAAUACAUUCAAAAUGUCCAGGCACCGUAACGUACGGACAAUGAACUAUGAGGAUGAAUAUUAUGAUGAAGAUGAAGUCUAUGGACAUUCCUAUGAUGAUAGCUACUGUGUCUCACCAGCCACAGCUGCACAAUUCACAUUUAAUCGAGAAAGAGAUGUCAACUUGUCAUCCUACAUGGAGGAGGGUAUUCCCGAGGAGGAGGAUGAAAGUGACCCAGAGCCCCUCAGUGACUCUGGGAGGGACAACCUCAAACUUGAUGAUGUUGAACAAGCUAAAUUAAAUUCCUGUAAAGAGGAAAUAGUGAAUGUGAUAGGCGACACCAUUCCAGAGCACAUCGUGUCUCAGGCUGUGGUCAAACACCAAUACAACAUUCAAGCUGCAUUGAAUGAACUUCUGAAUCAAAGCGGUAAAUUAAGCAUUUUUCUAUUACAUUAUUGAUAUCAGCCCAAAAGGAUUGUUUAUAAACAGUGAUGGUUGUUUCAGAACUUGUACUUGAAAUCAUUUGAUAAUUUUCUGUGUUAUUUUCUGUAUUAUAUGAAAGCAAAUGUCAACUCUUAGGGAGAGAAAGUUAUGGCGUAAUCUUUUAAGUGCUGUUGUGAAGUUCUGUUUGAUUGUUUAAAGAAAAUUCGUAAUAUUGUGUGCCAGAUCUUACCUAUAUCAAAUUCAGUACAUGUCAAAUUUGUAUGAAUCAGUUUGAUGUUACAUUUAAAUUGAAUAACAAUUUCAUGAAAUUUUGAGGCAAAAUUAUCUUAUUUUCAAAAUUUUCUGGUAGUGAUGAAUUCAAUACAUUGUAUUUACAAAUGUUAUAUGAUGCAUCACAACUUUGGUCAGAAGGAGAUGUUUCCAACUUUUCAUUAACUUCGUCAUUUAUGUUUUAUCAUACAACAUUAGUAAAAAUUCAAUCUAUUCCUUAAUAUGGAUGAUAUUUUCUAUGUUUACAUUUUGUUUUUAUUAGAGGCGCCUAAGCCACAAAGACAACCAAGGCCUGACAGGCGAGCAAACAGACAAGAGUUUGCACCUGUUCAGCCCACUGUUCAAUUAAAAACUCCAGUCAAGAAAAAUACAACCACGGACUUAGCCCAAGCUACCUCUGCCACCUCACAAAUAAAACUGGAAACCUCAAAUCAGACUGUUAAAUCUGCAAAUAACUCAGAAACUGUGUUCGGUACUGAGAAGAAUACUGUGAAAGACUUGCGCACAAAGGCAGGGAAUCUAAAUGCAAACAAUGAAGUGGAUGUCACAGACAGUGCAGUGUUAAAUGAUUCCAAACUUCAGUCAGUGAAUUCUGAAAUAGACCUAGUCGGGGACCUUGUUGGGAGGGACUUUAUAGACACUCCAAGUAAAUCGUCUAGCAGCAGUGUUCCAGCAACUCCCAAAAGUACUUCAAAAGUAAAACAAGACAAAGCCAAACUAAAGGAAGAAUAUGAAAGAAGAAAAACAGGCAAAGAUCUUCUGAACUUGGUUGUCAUUGGGCAUGUGGAUGCUGGUAAGAGUACAUUGAUGGGGCACCUGUUGUAUCAGAUGGGCGUGGUCAACAAGAGAGCCAUGCACAAAUACGAACAGGAGUCAAAGAAACGGGGGAAAGGAUCCUUUGCUUUUGCAUGGGUCUUGGAUGAAACAGAAGAAGAAAGGACAAGGGGGGUAACUAUGGACAUUGCUCAGACAGCAUUUGAAACUCCUCAUAAACAGAUAACACUGUUAGAUGCACCUGGACAUAAGGACUUUAUUCCAAAUAUGAUCACAGGUGCUGCCCAGGCUGAUGUUGCUAUUCUGGUGGUCAAUGCCACGAGGGGGGAGUUUGAGACAGGGUUCGAGUCAGGUGGACAGACCAGAGAACACGCUCUGUUGGCGCGAUCAUUAGGUGUGUCCCAGUUGUUGGUAGCAGUCAACAAGAUGGAUACUGUGGAUUGGUCACAGAGCCGUUAUGAUGACAUAGUGAAAAAAUUAGGACUCUUUUUAAAGCAGGCAGGGUAUAAGGACAUUGAUUUGUCCUACAUUCCCUGCAGUGGACUAGGGGGAGAGAACCUGACUAAAGCAGUCUCAGAGCCAAAGCUUGCCUCAUGGUAUAAAGGAAGCACACUGGUGGAACAAAUAGACAAGUUCAAGGCUGUUGAACGCCCCAUGGACAAACCUUUCCGUCUGAUCAUCAGUGAUGUGUUUAAGGGGCUGGGUAGUGGAUUCAGUGUGGUGGGGCGGGUUAGCUCAGGCUCCGUGCAGGCUGGUGACAGAGUCCUGGUACAACCCGCUGGAGACCUAGCUGUUGUUAAAGCUGUAACAAUGGAUGAUUCAGAUAACACUUGCGGAUUUGCUGGGGAUCACGUAACUGUUGUUUUAACAGGCAUGGACAUGGCUCAUGUAAAUGUUGGUAGUGUUCUAUGUGAUCCACAGAAUCCUAUCAAGUCUGCCAUGAGGAUUCGUGCAAGAAUUGUCAUUUUUAACUUAGAAUUGCCCAUCACUAGAGGAUUUACCGUCGUGUUUCAUUAUCAAUCUAUAACAGAGCCUGCCAUUAUUAAACGCCUGAACUGUCAACUCAAUAAGAAUACAGGAGAAGUCAUAAAAAAUAAACCCAAAUGCCUGGUAAAGAACAGCAGUGCAGUUGUGGAGAUCGAGUUUGAGCGGCCAGUCUGUCUGGAGAUGUACAAAGAUUACAAAGAUCUGGGCAGGUUUAUGCUGCGACAAGGAGGCCAUACAAUAGCUGCUGGGCUGGUAGAGGAGGUUCUUAAAACAAAGUCAAAAACAGAAGAAAACUCAACAGAAUGAAGCAUUUUGACCAGGCAGUAGCUGCAUGAUGAUGUUUUAUGAUUGCCAUGGUCUUAUGAUUUAUGCUUUGAUAAAUGCAUAGUUCAUGCUAGGUGUACAUGUAUUGAGUCAUGACCUGAGCAGUGAAAUAUUUAUUAAUGAAACAUUGAAGUUUUUAGCAGUCUUUGGGAUUUCCCAGACAUGUAUCCGAUAUUUGAUUUCCGCAAUGUGUUGACCUGUUUUGUUGUUCAUCUCUUUGUCCAAAUCUUGUCUGUACUGUAAUGUUCAGCCAUUUGUUAGGGACAAAAAAUUCUAUAAUUUAGUUUUUCUUCUUAUCUUGAAUUAGAACUUAUCUAAUCUGAGGAAGAGACAGCUUUAUAUUUGUUUGUUACAGAUUUGCAUGUUGCUCCUUAUUUCCAAAUGAACACAAGAGAUGGAGGAUUCUGGUUAAAGAGUUUUUAUUACAAUUCUUAAAUCAUUGUUCAGGCUCGGUCAUGGUAUUUGUUGGUGAUAUAUCACCAAAUGUGAUUAAACUAUGUUCGAUUGCUUUUAAAUUGAAAAUAAAUAAUGUGAUUUCU
rnacentral:misc_RNA from 1 species